CAGCAGAUACUUUGAUACAACCAGAAGCAAAAACUGCAUCGGCCGAAACAAGCAUCACAUAUUUCCAAUUGCGAAACCUCUCGCAAACUUCGUAAUGGAAGAGGGCAAGCCGGAACAUCCACUCAUCGAGGACAAAUACAACAAACGGGGCUGACCUAUACCUGACGGUAUCUGAACUCGGUCAAAGGAAAUGUUAACCGCUCAUGACGCCUGCUACUGGCGUGGGGGAUUUUUUUUUGUUUGCGAACAGUACGACGAGGCGCUCCGAAAUUUCAUUCUCCCCCAGAAAGACACUUUCGGAAAAGACACACCAUGUCCCCUCGCAGAAUGCGGUGGUUAAGUCGUACGACAUCAAAGGUCUGGGGAAGUAAACACCAUCAUCUUCCAUGAUCAAGCAAACUGAACAGGAAACGGAAAUGAAAAGUUGCAUCGAGAGGCCGGCGGAACUCGGGAUUUUAUACCUACCGGGUCAGAACAACCAGAAUCAGAAAGCAGUUUUUUUUUCUAAAUAAUAUUAUGGAGAAAUUCUGUGGAAAAAUAUCAAUAAAUGUAUUAAUUUCUAUAAACAGACUUAUCAAUACCCGAGAAAAUAUUAAAAUCAUUUGAAAAACAAAAGCAUAUUAAAUGGCAAUCAUGGAACCAUUCAUUUCAUCAUCGAAAACAAUAAAUUGUAUCAAUUUGGUUUUUUAUUAUAUUCAUUGGAAAUUCCGAUAAAAUGAAUCCUUCGUCUCCUGAUAAAAAGUAUUGGAUUUUCCUUUAGUGCAAAAUUACUAAAAUUCCCAAUAAACCUCAUAGCCCGAUUUUGUU